UUGCUCUUCAACGAGGAAUGCCUAGUAAGCGCGAGUCAUCAGCUCGCGUUGAUUACGUCCCUGCCCUUUGUACACACCGCCCGUCGCUACUACCGAUUGAAUGGCUUAGUGAGGCUUUCGGACUGGCUCAGGGAGGUCGGCAACGACCACCCAGAGCCGGAAAGUUAGUCAAACUUGGUCAUUUAGAGGAAGUAAAAGUCGUAACAAGGUUUCCGUAGGUGAACCUGCGGAAGGAUCAUUACUGAGAUAGGGUCCCUCGGGGCCCGACCUCCAACCCAUUGUCUACCUUACCACUGUUGCCUCGGCGGGUCGCCGGCGCCCCAUAAGAAAGGGCGCCGCCGUCGGCCUCCGCGCUCUCGAGUGCCCGCCGCCAGGCCCCAAACAAACCCUUUUUAAACAUAGCAAUCUGAGAGUAUAUUUAAUACUUCAAAACUUUCAACAACGGAUCUCUUGGUUCUGGCAUCGAUGAAGAACGCAGCGAAAUGCGAUAAGUAAUGUGAAUUGCAGAAUUCAGUGAAUCAUCGAAUCUUUGAACGCACAUUGCGCCCCCUGGUAUUCCGGGGGGCAUGCCUGUUCGAGCGUCAUUAUCAACCCUCAAGCUCUGCUUGGUAUUGGACGCCGUCCCUCACCGGACGCGCCCUAAAGACGUAGGCGGUGACCCCGAGUCUCAAGCGUAGUAAAUCUUUAGCUUGGAGGCCUCGGCGGCUGCCCGCCUCUAGAACCCAUCACCUAAAGGUUGACCUCGGAUCAGGUAGGGAUACCCGCUGAACUUAAGCAUAUCAAUAAGCGGAGGA
rnacentral:rRNA from 1 species